rnacentral:rRNA from 1 species
UACGUAGGGUGCAAGCGUUAUCCGGAAUUAUUGGGCGUAAAGAGCUCGUAGGCGGUUUGUCACGUCUGCUGUGAAGACUGGAGGCUCAACCUCCAGCCUGCGGUGGGUACGGGCAGACUAGAGUGCGGUAGGGGAGAUUGGAAUUCCUGGUGUAGCGGUGGAAUGCGCAGAUAUCAGGAGGAACACCGAUGGCGAAGGCAGAUCUCUGGGCCGUAACUGACGCUGAGGAGCGAAAGCAUGGGGAGCGAACAGG